AUCCCAAAAAAGUCGAAACAAAUUUUGACUUUGAACAAUCCCUCAAGCAAUGAAGGAUAGUCUCAGAGUGAGCUCAACAUCUAAGACAGAAAUCCGACUUAGCCCGUUGAAGUUAGUAUCGAAGAGCAGCGGUAGGAAGAGCAUUUUGAGCUCCCAACCAGAAAAUGAGUUUUUCCGAAAUAUGCAGCUUCCAAAGCCACCUCCAAUCCUUUCUAGCAUCCCAAUUUAUCAAUUUAUUCAAAAGCCCAAUAUAACUAUUUUUUUGCAGUAUACGCUCCCUUGAUCUAUCUCCAACCAGGAUCUAUCUCCAACCAGACUCAAAUUCAACAUCCAAAGACACCCCAUGCAGGCAUUGAGUUAUAUAUUUUAGAGGUGGAGUCCUAGCGGCGAACAGGGAGGCGAAAGAGAAGCUCGCCGUCGUGUUAGUCCGGUGAAGAGGAGGCUGUUGGUGGCUGGCGGUUAGGGAACUAAUGACAGAGGGAGAGAGAGCUUCGCGGAGGUGGUGGGUCUCGCACAGAGCCAAGGAGAACCGGCGGCGAUGUGGUUGGAGGUUAGGUUCUGGGCUCGGCGGAGGUGAGGUGCGGCGAUGGUGAAAUCGCGGAGGUGAGGCGUCGAAACAGUGAAGGUGUGGAGGCGCGUUGGGUGGUCCGCGAAGGUUCGGUGGUUCUGGGCGGCGCUAGGGUACGGACAGGGGAAAGAUGUAGAGGCGAAAGAAGAAGAAAGAGAGAGAUGUGGUGGCUCUGUGUCGGUUGUGGGUACAGACGCCGGCUGCGGUGGUGAUGAUUGGAGGCUGAGGCGAGGCUAGGGUUCGGACAGGAGGGGAAGAAGACGGAGGCUGGACGCGAGCUAGAGGUGAUAUCGCGAAGAGGAGGGUCACGGUGGCUCGGCCAGUAAGAGCGAGGGAGGAGAAGGUGGCCGCCGCUGGUUGGUUGGUUUGGGCCUGCGCCUGGGCCUGGUUAUGAUCUGUUUUUUCUGCAUAUGAUGUUUCCGUGGUUUCGUGUUUGUGGAGGCUGAAAUUGAAGGACCUGACUCGUUCCAAAAGCGAGGAUGUUCGAACGAGUUGAGGCUGAGUGAACUCGCCGGUUCGGCAGUACUCGGCGUUGUGUCGUAGGUGUAUUGAUGAGUGAGUCUAAAGGAUCUGACUCGUUGCAGGAGGGAGGGUGAGCGAGUGAAAGGGUGUUGGAGUUCAUGUUCUUGAAUUCGGUUGUUGUGGGAGGAGGUGAAGCGGGAGGUGAUGGCAAUGGUGCCAAUGACGAGGUUGACAAAGAUGAAGAGGGAAGAAGGUGUUAACCAGCUGGCUAUGAGAAGCGUCAUUGAAGCUGUUGGUACUGCCAUAGAGAGCUUGUUAAUUUGGGAUCAGGACAAAGAGUUCUGAUUUGGGGACAAAAUGAAAUCAAUUUCCACCUAGGCUAACAAAUUAAUUAAUUAGAAAUUACAACUCAAUUAAAACAUGAUUUGUCAGCAUAAUCCGGUGUCCAGGUAAGCAUUGUCCUCACCGGAGUUUUGGUCCGGCAAGCUUAUGGACGCGCUUGUCAGUUUUUAAAAUUAACCAAGUACCAUUUUGUCGAUUACAAUAGUCAGGUACCGCAAUGUCAGCGUUUUAAUCUUUCGGGUACUGAUUUGGUCA